rnacentral:rRNA from 1 species
UACGAAGGGAGCUAGCGUUGUUCGGAAUUACUGGGCGUAAAGGGCGCGUAGGCGGGUUUCCAAGUCGGGGGUGAAAUUCCAGGGCUCAACCCUGGGACGGCCUUCGAUACUGGGAGCCUGGAGAUCGGGAGAGGUGAGUGGAAUUCCGAGUGUAGAGGUGAAAUUCGUAGAUAUUCGGAGGAACACCGAUGGCGAAGGCAGCCCCCUGGGUCAAGAUUGACGCUCAUGCACGAAAGCGUGGGGAGCAAACAGG